AUUGAACGCUGGCGGAAUGCUUUACACAUGCAAGUCGAGCGGCAGCACGGGGGCAACCCUGGUGGCGAGCGGCGAACGGGUGAGUAAUACAUCGGAACAUGCCAGUCGUGGGGGAUAACACUUCGAAAGAAGUGCUAAUACCGCAUACGUCCUGCGGGAGAAAGCGGGGGAUCUUCGGACCUCGCGCGAUUGGAGUGGCCGAUGGCAGAUUAGCUAGUUGGUGGGGUAAAGGCCUACCAAGGCAACGAUCUGUAGCUGGUCUGAGAGGAUGAUCAGCCACACUGGGACUGAGACACGGCCCAGACUCCUACGGGAGGCAGCAGUGGGGAAUUUUGGACAAUGGGGGCAACCCUGAUUCAGCCAUUCCGCGUGAGUGAAGAAUGCCUUCGGGUUGUAAAGCUCUUUCGGCAGGAACGAAACGGCGAGCUCUAACAUAGCUUGCUAAUGACGGUACCUGAAGAAGAAGCACCGGCUAACUACGUGCCAGCAGCCGCAGUAAUAC
rnacentral:rRNA from 1 species